UCAAGUUCAGGAUUUCCUGUUAUAAUAGAAGAUAUUAAUGGAACUACAUGCGAUUCUACCCAUGAAACCCAUAUUUCACCAUGUUAUCAGUUUCAAAAUAAUGUUUAAGGUCGGGUGGCAGUCUUGUUGUGAAUCACCUUUUCGUGUACGUUCGGCCACACGCGGCAUGAUCUACCUUACGCCGUGGACUUCAUGCUCUCAUCGACAAGUUUUGGAUCUCCUGAAGAACCAAGAGAUUGAAACAACCCUUUUAGAUUUUGGAUCAGAUUCAACCUAUACUUUUGAGGCUGUUUGACAUUAGAAACAAGGUGUGAAUGUUUCAUAACUCUAUCUUAAAAUGUAAGUCGAUUCGUAGAACACUGGAAAAAGUGUCCCACGAAGCUAUCCUGAUUUUGAUGUUGAUUCAUAAUACCAAACAGCCCCAUAUAAUUUCUGGCAGUAUGUAAAUGGUUCACUUCUUAAAUUCCCAAACACCGAAUCCAGGACCGAACGGUUAUUAUGUUUCUGUUUGUUUCUAUUUGUAACCUUUACAGAUUCUUUCAUGCUGGUUUGCGAAGUCAUUAAUCUAAACUCGUUAGUUGCUGUGCACUCGAACGGCAAUGAAAUUGCAAGCGAAGUGUUUGUUGAUUUGUGCGAAAGAACUAAAAGUGGCUUCACAUCCAAACACUGUCAAUCAAUUUUAGUGUACUUUUUUGCUUUUGGUUUUUUUCUUUCAUGUUGUAUAGCUGUCUGAGUUGUCAUUGCCAAUAACCAAUUUCUUUUAUGAUUUAUUGUGAUCACUUGUUACUAUAUAUAAGAUUGUGAAAUCUGUUAUCUUAGCUUCACGGGCAACAUCCAAGCUCUCGAUAAUUGAUGAUGUAUUGUUGUCAGGACGUAAGUAGACAUUUUGCUUCUAAGGUUUUCAUUAUAGGCAUCUUUACUGAUCACAUACACCCGCGCGUAGGUGGUUCUCUAGUUAUAUGUGGUGACCAUUUAUAAUUGACUGCAGAAGUUUUGAUGUGGCUUUAAAUGGAAUAAUCAGCUCCACACUGGCGAAGGUUUAUCUGUUGCUCUUAAGUAGACUAUACUUCCCAUUGGCAGAAUUUGUAUGUUUAUUGGGAAACACACUCUGAUGGAACUUGACUCCUUCCACAAGAAAUCCUGUUAUAGAUUUAAGGGAGAGGAGGGAAGGAAGUGAUGUGGUAAUUGGUAUAGUUGUUGCAUUAGACAUCGUUUUAUUUGCUGAUGGUAUCUUUGAAGUGAAACUCGGAAAAACUCCUUCCUAUCUACUCUCGUCUUUCCUCCAACAUGCACUCGAGCUGGAGCGUUUGCUCUUUUUCAGGUCUGCUAAGUGAGCGUGCAACUAUGGUGAUUCGCUGGCUUCCCUGAUUAGGAACACGACCCCCCAGAAGACGACUCAUGUUUUAGUUUUUUUUUUUGUUGACUUGAAUGGAAAUAGUUCUCCAAUCCCCAUUUAUUGUCCUCUUUCAAAUCCAAGUGACAUUAGAUUAUUGCUUUCAAUUAUUUGUGUUCAGACGAUAAAGACAUGUCUAACAAAGAUAUAUUCUACUACCCAGCUAGAAUGUUGCUUUGAAUUACUUGUAUGUUGAUUGUACAGACAUGGUGAAUUGCUGACUAACCGUGUAACUUGGCUUUCUCUUGCUGAACGUUAGUUGGCAAUGUUGAAAUCCAUAACUAUCUUCACAUGAUAUGGAAAAUCAUUACAACUUUUUACAUAUGGUUUCUGCUUGUUAUAAGACCUAGUAUUUCAUUGAGUUUUUGUUGAAAAUGUCCAUAAAUGUAAUCAAAGAAACAGAUUUUGCAGAGGAGAGUGGUUCCUUUUUUAUCAUGUCAGUAGCUUCUUUAAUGCCUACAAUGGCUUUUUUUCAGGGCAAGGUUGAUCUUUUCCUAGACGUAGCCAUCUGUUGACACACUAUAGGGAAGCACCACAAACACAUGGUUGGGAAUAUGUGAAGUGCUCAUUUUCAACAUCCACUGAAGAUCGUGAUUCUGGAAAUCAACAGGAGAAAAAAGUGUGAGGUUUCCCUUUCCAAUGUAAAAUUUGUAUAUGGUUGAGUGGUUCAAAAGCCACGGUGCUGGUGGACAAAUUCUGGGGUUCACUUAUCCAAUUAGCAUUUCAGCGGAUACUUUAUACCUCAUAAUUUUGUUCACCUGUCAUCAAAUUUUUCUCACAUCUUCUUUAGAAUCACCUAUUUGAUUA